rnacentral:rRNA from 1 species
UACGGGGGGGGGCAAGCGUUGUUCGGAUUCAUUGGGCGUAAAGGGUGCGUAGGUGGCAUGGUAAGUCUGCUGUGAAAGUCCAGGGCUCAACCCUGGGAUGCCGGUGGAUACUGUCGAGCUCGAGUCCGGAAGAGGAGUGUGGAAUUCCUGGUGUAGCGGUGAAAUGCGUAGAUAUCGGGAGGAACACCUGUGGCGAAGGCGGCCCCCUGGUUGGAUACGUGACCGCUGAUACGCGAAAGCGUGGGGAGCAACAGGAUUGAAGAAUACCCGUGGUAGUCCAGUACCAAGAUCUCC